rnacentral:rRNA from 1 species
AUUGAACGCUGGCGGCAUGCCUUACACAUGCAAGUCGAACGGCAGCACGGGUGCUUGCACCUGGUGGCGAGUGGCGAACGGGUGAGUAAUACAUCGGAACGUACCUUAUCGUGGGGGAUAACGCAGCGAAAGCUGUGCUAAUACCGCAUACGCCCUGAGGGGGAAAGCGGGGGAUCGCAAGACCUCGCGCGAUUAGAGCGGCCGAUGCCUGAUUAGCUUGUUGGUGGGGUAAAAGCCCACCAAGGCGACGAUCAGUAGCUGGUCUGAGAGGACGAUCAGCCACACUGGGACUGAGACACGGCCCAGACUCCUACGGGAGGCAGCAGUGGGGAAUUUUGGACAAUGGGGGCAACCCUGAUCCAGCAAUGCCGCGUGAGUGAAGAAGGCCUUCGGGUUGUAAAGCUCCUUUGUCAGGGAAGAAACACCGGCUCUAACACAGUCCGGGAAUGACGGUACCUGAAGAAUAAGCACCGGCUAACUACGUGCCAGCAGCCGCCGUAA